UACAGAGGUCCCGAGCGUUGUUCGGAUUCACUGGGCGUAAAGGGUGCGUAGGUGGCGAGGUAAGUCGGAUGUGAAAGCUCGGAGCUCAACUCCGAAAAUGGCAUUGGAAACUACCUUGCUCGAGGGUUGGAGGGGGGGACUGGAAUACUUGGUGUAGCAGUGAAAUGCGUAGAUAUCAAGUGGAACACCAGUGGCGAAGGCGAGUCCCUGGACAACUCCUGACACUGAGGCACGAAAGCUAGGGGAGCAAACAGG
rnacentral:rRNA from 1 species